rnacentral:pre_miRNA from 1 species
UCUUACAAAUGAGCAAAAAAGUGGUUUCUUGAGAUGGAAUCUACUCUCGUUGCAGAUGCUGUGAA